GACGAACGCUGGCGGCGUGCUUAACACAUGCAAGUCGAACGGUAAGGCCCUUCUUUUUUGGGGUGCUCGAGUGUCGAACGUGUGAGUAACACGUGAGUAACCUUCCCUUGACUUUGGGAUAACUUCAGGAAACUGGGGCUAAUACCGGAUAGGAGCUCCUGCUGCAUGGUGGGGGUUGGAAAGUUUCGGCGGUUGGGGAUGUACUCGCGGCUUAUCAGCUUGUUGGUGGGGUAGUGGCUUACCAAGGCUUUGACGGGUAGCCGGCCUGAGAGGGUGACCGGCCACAUUGGGACUGAGAUACGGCCCAGACUCCUACGGGAGGCAGCAGUGGGGAAUAUUGCACAAUGGGCGGAAGCCUGAUGCAGCAACGCCGCGUGCGGGAUGACGGCCUUCGGGUUGUAAACCGCUUUCGCCUGUGACGAAGCGUGAGUGACGGUAAUGGGUAAAGAAGCACCGGCUAACUACGUG
rnacentral:rRNA from 1 species